rnacentral:rRNA from 1 species
UAACAUUUAGUGAAUCUGCCUAGUAGUGGGGGAUAGCUCGGGGAAACUCGAAUUAAUACCGCAUACGCACCUACGGGUGAAAGGGGGCGCAAGCUCUUGCUAUUAGAUGAGCCUAAAUCAGAUUAGCUAGUUGGUGGGGUAAAGGCCCACCAAGGCGACGAUCUGUAACUGGUCUGAGAGGAUGAUCAGUCACACCGGAACUGAGACACGGUCCGGACUCCUACGGGAGGCAGCAGUGGGGAAUAUUGGACAAUGGGGGCAACCCUGAUCCAGCCAUGCCGCGUGUGUGAAGAAGGCCUUUUGGUUGUAAAGCACUUUAAGCAGGGAGGAGAGGCUAAUGGUUAAUACCCAUUAGAUUAGACGUUACCUGCAGAAUAAGCACCGGCUAACUCUGUGCCAGCAGCCGCGGUAAUACAGAGGGUGCGAGCGUUAAUCGGAAUUACUGGGCGUAAAGCGAGUGUAGGUGGCUCAUUAAGUCACAUGUGAAAUCCCCGGGCUUAACCUGGGAACUGCAUGUGAUACUGGUGGUGCUAGAAUAUGUGAGAGGGAAGUAGAAUUCCAGGUGUAGCGGUGAAAUGCGUAGAGAUCUGGAGGAAUACCGAUGGCGAAAGGCAGCUUCCUGGCAUAAUAUUGACACUGAGAUUCGAAAGCGUGGGUAGCAAACAGGAUUAGAUACCCUGGUAGUCCACGCC